GCUGGGCAUGGUGGCGUGUGCCUGCAGUCCCAGCUACUUGAGGGGCUGAGGUGGGAGGAUCGCUUGAGCCCAGGAGGUCUACAGUGCAGUGCGCUGUGAUCGCCCCACUGCACUCCAGCCUUGGCUACAGAGUGAGACUCCGUCUCAA
ensembl:misc_RNA Metazoa_SRP Metazoan signal recognition particle RNA